rnacentral:rRNA from 1 species
AUCUAUGGUGACACCACCCUUAACAUGCCCAAUCUUGUCUGAUUUUGGAAGCUAACAAGGGUCAGGCCUGGUUCGUAUUUGGAUUAGACCACCUGGGAUUAGCAGGUGUGAAGACU